AUUGAACGCUGGCGGCAUGCCUUACACAUGCAAGUCGAACGGCAGCACGGGAGUAAUCCUGGUGGUGAGUGGCGAACGGGUGAGUAAAGCAUCGGAACGUGCCCAGUCGUGGGGGAUAACGUAGCGAAAGCUACGCUAAUACCGCAUACGAUCUGUGGAUGAAAGCGGGGGACCGUAAGGCCUCGCGCGAUUGGAGCGGCCGAUGUCAGAUUAGGUAGUUGGUGAGGUAAAGGCUCACCAAGCCGACGAUCUGUAGCUGGUCUGAGAGGACGACCAGCCACACUGGGACUGAGACACGGCCCAGACUCCUACGGGAGGCAGCAGUGGGGAAUUUUGGACAAUGGGCGCAAGCCUGAUCCAGCAAUGCCGCGUGCAGGAUGAAGGCCUUCGGGUUGUAAACUGCUUUUGUACGGAGCGAAAAGGCUUCCACUAAUACUGGGGGCUCAUGACGGUACCGUAAGAAUAAGCACCGGCUAACUACGUG
rnacentral:rRNA from 1 species